UACGUAGGUGGCAAGCGUUGUCCGGAUUUGCUGGGUGUAAAGGGAGCGUAGACGGACUUGCAAGUCUGAUGUGAAAAUCCGGGGCCCAACCCCGGAACUGCAUUGGAAACUGUAUAUCUAGAGUGUCGGAGAGGCAAGUGGAAUUCCUGGUGUAGCGGUGAAAUGCGUAGAUAUCAGGAGGAACACCAGUGGCGAAGGCGGCUUGCUGGACGAUGACUGACGUUGAGGCUCGAAAGCGUGGGGAGCAAACAGG
rnacentral:rRNA from 1 species